AUUGAACGCUGGCGGCAGGCCUAACACAUGCAAGUCGAGCGAGCGGCGGACGGGUGAGUAAUGUCUGGGAAACUGCCUGAUGGAGGGGGAUAACUACUGGAAACGGUAGCUAAUACCGCAUACCAUCAGAGGUGCCCAGAUGGGAUUAGCUAGUAGGUGGGGUAAAGGGUCACCUAGGCGACGAUCCCUCGCUGGUCUGAGAGGAUGACCAGCCAAACUGGAACUGAGAAUCGGUCCAGACUCCUACGGUGGGCAGCAGUGGGGAAUAUUGCACAAUGGGCGCAAGCCUGAUGCAGCCAGGCCGCGUGUGUGAAGAAGGCCUUCGGGUUGUAAAGCACUUUCAGCGGGGAGGCGUUACCCGCAGAAGAAGCACCGGCUAACUCCGUGCCAGCCGCCGCGGUAAUUC
rnacentral:rRNA from 1 species